UUUUGCCUACGGGGCGCAGCAGUGAGGAAUAUUGGUCAAUGGGCGGGAGCCUGAACCAGCCAAGUCGCGUGAGGGAAGACGGUCCUAUGGAUUGUAAACCUCUUUUGUCGGGGAGCAAAGAGAUCACGUGUGGUCAAAAGCGAGAGUACCCGAAGAAAAAGCAUCGGCUAACUCCGUGCCAGCAGCCGCGGUAAUACGGAGGAUGCGAGCGUUAUCCGGAUUUAUUGGGUUUAAAGGGUGCGCAGGCGGAUUCUUAAGUCAGCGGUCAAAUCGUGGGGCUCAACCCCAUCCAGCCGUUGAAACUG
rnacentral:rRNA from 1 species